rnacentral:rRNA from 1 species
UACGUAGGGUGCUAGCGUUGUCCGGAAUUAUUGGGCGUAAAGAGCGUGUAGGCGGCCCGACCAGUCCGCGUGUGAAAGUCCAGGGCUCAACCCUGGAAUGCCGGUGGAUACUGUCGGGCUAGAGUCCGGAAUGGGCGAGUGGAAUUCCUGGUGUAGCGGUGAAAUGCGCAGAUAUCAGGAGGACACCAAUGGCGAAGGCAGCUCCGCUGGGACGUUACUGACACUGAGGCGCGAAAGCGUGGGGAGCGAACAGG